ACGAAAUCUCGAACUUCUUUGCCUGUAACGAGUAGAAUAGCACUGGCUCCAGGUAAUUCAAUCUGAAAUCUGGCUAUUUUCGGGUAACGAGUUCGCAGAACUACAAAUGGUUUAUCAGAAAGAAUUGUGGAUCUUUUCUAGGUAUGUGUUAACGAAGAAAUGCAGCUCAUUGCCAGUAACGAGUUGAAUAGAACGUGCUUUGGCUCCUAAACGACGAAAUCUCGAACUUCUUUGCCUGUAACGAGUAGAAUAGCACUGGCUCCAGGUAAUUCAAUCUGAAAUCUGGCUAUUUUCGGGUAACGAGUUCGCAGAACUACAAAUGGUUUAUCAGAAAGAAUUGUGGAUCUUUCUAGGUAUGUGUUAACGAAGAAAUGCAGCUCAUUGCCAGUAACGAGUUGAAUAGAACGUGCUUUGGCUCCUAAACGACGAAAUCUCGAACUUCUUUGCCUGUAACGAGUAGAAUAGCACUGGCUCCAGGUAAUUCAAUCUGAAAUCUGGCUAUUUUCGGGUAACGAGUUCGCAGAACUACAAAUGGUUUAUCAGAAAGAAUUGUGGAUCUUUUCUAGGUAUGUGUUAACGAAGAAAUGCAGCUCAUUGCCAGUAACGAGUUGAAUAGAACGUGCUUUGGCUCCUAAACGACGAAAUCUCGAACUUCUUUGCCUGUAACGAGUAGAAUAGCACUGGCUCCAGGUAAUUCAAUCUGAAAUCUGGCGAUUUUCGGGUAACGAGUUCGCAGAACUACAAAUGGUUUAUCAGAAAGAAUUGUGGAUCUUUUCUAGGUAUGUGUUAACGAAGAAAUGCAGCUCAUUGCCAGUAACGAGUUGAAUAGAACGUGCUUUGGCUCCUAAACGAUGAAAUAUCGAACUUCUUUGCCUGUAACGAGUAGAAUAGCACUAGCUCCAGGUAAUUCAAUCUGAAAUCUGGCCAUUUUCGGGUAACGAGUUCGCAGAACUACAAAUGGUUUAUCAGAAAAAAUUAUGGAUCUUUUCUAGUUAAGUAAAUGCAGCUCAUUGCCAGUAACGAGUUGAAUAGAACGUCCUUUGGCUCCUAAACGAUGAAAUUUCGAACUUCUUUGCCUGUAACGAGUAGAUUAGCACUGGCUCCAGGAAAUUCAAUCUGAAAUCUGACCAUUUUCGGGUAACGAGUUCGCAGAACUACAAAUGGUUUAUCAGAAAGAAUUAUGGAUCUUUUCUAGUUAAGUGUUAACAAAGAAAUGCAGCUCAUUGCCAGUAACGAGUUGAAUAGAACGU